UAUAUUCAGUGUCGUAUUUACUAUUUUCUCGGACACGCUAAUGGUUUAAGAAUAAUAAGCUGAAACAUGAAUACUGAAGCCGUAAUAAAGCGUUAUUUGACAAAUAUUAUUGGACACGUUGAGGAGGAAAAAUAUUUCUCCUUUAUGGGAAAAAUAUAAAAUCAUUUAAAUAUGUUGAGAGCAUUCCAUCUAUGGUUCAAAUUUCAAACUUUCAUCACCACAACAAAUGUACUAAAAACCAUCACAUUUUGUUUGUUGCAUACAUUUUUUGUCAACAAUCAGAAUUAUAACUUACUAUGGGAAGUCUUAUAUGACUGCAUAAUAGUCCAGAAAGUUAUGCUUGGUGAAUAUAAGCAUGCUAUUAAAAUUUAUGAAUCCAAAUUUGGCAAGAAGAAGGCAUCGAGUUGAAGGGCAUCGGUCUUUGGAUUAUACCGGAAAUAAUUUGAUGGUUCCAGUAGAAAAUCAGAACACCRACAUCAAUUUUUCAACAAAUUAACCUUCAUCAACCGGUGGUUGAAACCCUGGAACUACAAUUAUUUCAGAUUGUUGG